UACGGAGGGUGCAAACGUUGCUCGGAAUCAUUGGGCGUAAAGCGCACGUAGGCGGCUCGUUAAGUCGGAUGUGAAAGCCCUGGGCUCAACCCAGGAAGUGCAUACGAAACUGGCGAGCUUGAGUAUGGAAGAGGGUCGCGGAAUUCCCGGUGUAGAGGUGAAAUUCGCAGAUAUCAGGAAGAACACCCGUGGCGAAAGCGGCUCUCUGGAACGGUACUGACGCUGAGACGCGAAAGCGUGGGGAGCGAACAGG
rnacentral:rRNA from 1 species